rnacentral:rRNA from 1 species
CCUACGGGUGGCAGCAGUCGAGAAUCUUUCACAAUGGGGGAAACCCUGAUGCUGCGACGCCGCGUGGGGGAAUGAAGGUCUUCGGCCUUUAAACCCUUGUCAUGUGGGAGAAAAUUAAAAAGAUAGUACCACAAGCGGAAGCGACGCGUAACUCUGUGCCCGCAGCCGCGGCAAUACAGCGGUCUCAAGCGUUGUUGGCAAUCACUGGGCGUAUAGCGUGCGUAGGCUGUUUCGUAAGUCAGGUGUGAAAGCCGCGGGCGCAACCCGCGGACGGCUCAUGAUACUGCGAGACUGGAGUAAUGGAGGGGGAACCGGAAUUCUCGGUGUAGCAGUGAAAUGCGUAGAUA